rnacentral:rRNA from 1 species
GACGAACGCUGGCGGCGUGCUUAACACAUGCAAGUCGAGCGGUAAGGCCCUUUCGGGGGUACACGAGCGGCGAACGGGUGAGUAACACGUGGGUGACCUGCCCUCAGCUCUGGGAUAAGCCUGGGAAACCGGGUCUAAUACUGGAUAUGACUCCAUGACGCAUGUUGUGGGGUGAAAGCCUUGUGCGGCUGAGGAUGGGCCCNCGGCCUAUCAGCUUGUUGGUGGGGUGAGGGCCUACCAAGGCGACGACGGGUAGCCGGCCUGAGAGGGCGACCGGCCACACUGGGACUGAGACACGGCCCAGACUCCUAC